rnacentral:rRNA from 1 species
UGGUGGAGUGAUUUGUCUGGUUUAUUCCGUUAACGAACGAGACCUCGACCUGCUAAAUAGUUCUGCGAACCGCUCGCGGUUUGUGCGUGACUUCUUAGAGGGACUAUCGGUUUGAAGCCGGUGGAAGUUCGAGGCAAUAACA